rnacentral:lncRNA from 1 species
GGCUGGCCAAGGCCUCUGCUGUGACUGUAGCCCAGCUCAACCUCUCGUCCUGCCCAGCCUCGCCGCCCUCAGGCACUCACAGGGGUGGCUCCCAGUCCAUUCUCCAACACAGCUCCUGCCCACAGUCUCCUCUCAGAGUCCGCUUCCCAGCAACUCAGUCUGAGACAGCUCUCCCAGAGUCCUGUGGGAGGAGGAAUUCCCGAGGAGCAGCAAGAGGAGGAAGAAUUCUAGAAUGUGAGAGGGAGAAAAUGCAAGGAUAGUCAUCAUCAGUGAUAGAAACCCAGUUCGCAGUGCUUGUACCAGCUUCUCCUCCCUCUUUCCUAGGUGGGGGUGGAGACUAUGGCUAUGGGUGGGAUUAUAAUAAGGUAUAUGCUAAUGAGGUGAUUGACCCAUAUUUCUUUUCCUCGAAUACCAUUCUGGUUUGAGAAGACCAUAUCUGUCAAGUCCUAAAGACUAUAAUACAUCUUAGGCAAAUUUCCAUGUUUUGGGGAAAUCUAAAUAUGAACCUAUGGGGUGGGGCAUGAGGGCUGGUUUAUGAGCAGGUGGUUAAUAGAUACAACCUGAAUUAAAUGAUACAGUUUUCUUGCAUUAUGUCUAAAAUUCCAGUAGACUUCUGUAUUUGAAUUUUGGAAAAUGAAGUCUGUUACAGUGUGCAAAAAUAGGAGAAUUAUAAGAUAAAUAAUUAGCAACUAUUAGUUCUCAGCUAGCUUAGAGCAAGGCAGGCGCUUAGAAGACAGUCGGGAUGUGGGUGUGUGGGUACCAGAGGGGCUGUAAGAAGAGGUGGGAGGGAACAAAGACGAGCUAUACUUAGCUUAAAAUUUCUUGGCUGAGUACGAUAGUAAAAUGGGUUAAAACGUGUUUCCCAGACUGUGAUGUCAUACCCCUGGUGGAACCAAAAGGGCUCUGUGGAGGUAAAAGAGAAAAGUGUUUACUCUUUUCAUCAUUAUGAAUUUACAGUUACAGAGUUCCCGCUGUGGUGCAGCAGGUUAAGGAUACUGCGUUGUCUCUGCAGCAGCUUAGGGUACUGUGUUUGAUCCAUUGCCCAGCAUAGUGGGUUAAGGAUCCAGCAAUGCCAUAGCUGUGGUGUAGGUCGCAGUUGUGGCUCAGAUUUUAUCCCUGGCCCGGGAACUUCGUCUGUCCUGGUUGUGGCAAAAACAAACCACCAAAGCCCCCCAAACUUUUCUUUUAAAAUAAAUUUAUUUAAAUUCAAGAUGAAUCUAUUUAAACAAAGUAUUUACUAGUACAGGUAGCCUGCAGAUAUUGUGAGAAAAAUCAUCACAGUGGUGGUUUGUGAAUAUUAAGAGUUUAGAUGUAAAAUCUGUUGGUUUAAGCUGCCAAAGAGAAUUAGAUAUAAGAGAUAAUCUAGCAAUUCUGAGAACUCAGCAAAUAUUAAAUGAAACAUCAAAUGAUACCAUGUGGAAUUCAUGUCAGAUUGUCCAACUGCUUAUAUUUUUGUUGUUGCUUUCGAUAUCCUCCUACCUAAACUAUUUCCCCCCUCCCACCUCCCAUCGCAUCUUCUGCAAAAUAGUUCUAGGUCUUUUAGUCUCGAGCACUCUUGCACAAUCUAUAAGAUAUGGUCACUUACCAUGCCUGUGGUAUUAUUGCCUGUUAAUUACAUACCCAUCACAUAUCAGAUAUCAUUAAGGCACAUUUAUUAAACAUAAAACUAGAGGAUUUAAAGGGAAUUUGAGGGGGAAAAAAAUCUCCCAGUCUGGAAGGUUUCCAGGCUAAAUAUAGAAACUUGAGGCAACUAGAGGUUUUCAGACUUUUUCAGCCACAGAACAUUCUGUUCAAAUAAAUCUUACCAGGCAACCCAAAGCCACAGAGAGAACAUACGCAGAGCUGCUCUGCGGGUGGGAUCUGGGUCAUGACAGUGUCCUGCGAUGAUGAACGAACCGUCCCCUCCCCUCUCUCUUGGGGACCCCCACCCUGCUCACCCUACGCCACCCCUGAGGUUUGGGGGAUGUGGUGUCUUGUUUGAAAACCUCUGACCUAGAACAAUUUCCUUUCUCAGUCUGUCUACACCUGUCAUUUUGUGACUGCAGCACAGUCAACGGGCUUCUAUUUUAUGAUAUGAUGCAGUGAUUAUAUAUUCUUUCUAAGACUACUACAGAUGGGUCUUGUCCAAAAUACCCCUCCCCCAAAUCUAGAUUUAGCGGAAAAACAAACAACCUCCUAGAUCCCAUGUUCCAUUCAGGGCCCUGAGCUCCUGCUGUGUUUCUUGUUGCAUAGCCCAGGAUCCAGCAGGGCUCCCCAUUUUAUACAGUGGGUGAACGAAUGCAAGAAUGAACAGAAGAGGAAAGCUGGGCUGUGAUGGAUUUCGAGAAAUGGGACCAAUGCGUCAAAGCGUUUGCACACUUUCCCAGCCUUCGGUGAAUGUGUCACUGUACAGAGGAGCUGGGGGCAGGGGGGCAGAUCACUGUAACCUGUAGGCAGCGAGCCCCGAAGGUGAUGAUGCUUGGGAGAAGGUGGUGGUUGUGGAAUAGGAAAGAAAAUGCGAAUCAAAGGCACUCAGAAAAGAGACAGUACUGGCAGCGGGUAGGGUUUGGGAACCUCAAAGACUUGGGCCAAAAAUGAUUUUUGUUCCUAUCAUAAAGAUGCUGUGUGAAGGGUUGGAAAUAUCAAAAUUCUUCACAGAGCUGGCUGGAGGCUGAGCUCCUGGUGUAAAUCCAGAGUUGCCUUAAAAGACAUAAUUCAGGGAGUUCCUGUGGUGGCUCAGUAGGUUCAAUCCCUGGCCCUGCUGGUGAGUUAAGGACUUAGCAUUGCUGUGAGCUGUGUUGUAAGUCACAGCCUCUGCUCGGAUCUGAUAUUGUUAUGGCUGUGGUCUAGGCUGGCAGCUGCAGCUCCGAUUCAUCCCCUGCCUGGGAACUUCCAUAUGUUGCAGGUUUGGCCUAAAAAGCAGAAAACAAACAAACAAACCAAAGAGACAUAGUUCAGCCGUAGCUGUUUCGGGUGUGUCAUGUCAUGGAAAUGAAAAGCCUGCGACUGUCUCAGUCACUUGAGUUGGGAUGAAGCACGGAUACAUGAUCACUCUCAGGUCGCUUUCUAAACUCUUUCCUCCAUCCUCUUGCCGGUCCACCCCUCCAGCCACCUGCAAGGCACUGGGUGGUUUCUGCCCCUCCCCCAAACUUUCCCAGACAGCUCCGCCCUCGGAAGGCUCGUCCAGCCCCUGGUCACUCCUGGACCUCUUGGCCUGCGGUGCUUAUUUUACACCUGUCUCUGCCCGGGAGCCUCCCUGGAUAUGUUGGUGGAUUGCCUCCCCUGACUGGAUGGAAGGACAGUGCAGGCAGGGUCUUUACGUUUCUGCCACAGCACCUUUUCCCAGACCUCCCAUGGGACAGGCGCUGAGGCCCUGCUGGUUGAUUGAAUAACAGGGAUGUGCUCUGGCUCCAGCUCACUUCUGAUCCAUACCAGGGUUUUUUUUUGUUUUUUGGUUUUUUUCUUAACCAGCCCGUGAAGGCCCACAGCCUGGAUCGUGUGCCAAGUUUCCCAGAAAACUGAAGGGAAACUUACUUGACUUAUUGGUCUUAGAGCCUCAAGGCAGGAAAGUCCCAGGAGAACAGCCCUGCCCAAGGUGUCACAUGGGUCUGUAUGCUGACUCAAUUUGUCCCACGUGGAGAUAUGUCUAAAGGCUUUGCUGGAUAAGCCCAGAUGGAUAUUUUUUUGGCCAAUCUGCCCUGAAGGGACCUGCUCACACGUACAGCGAGAUGUGCAUACUGGAGGACUUUCCAGGAUGGCAAAAACCUGGUCAGUGAAAUGGUCAGGUGUUAGGGUGACAUCCUCUUCCCUCUGAGAAGCAUAAUUCAAAAUUCUGCUUCCAUGGAUCACCCUCCCAACUGAUUCUCCUGAGAGAUGGAUCCACGGGGUGGUGUGAGGGUGGAGGAGGGAGCACCUCAAUGGCAGAACCUGGGGGACCUCAGUCACUCAACUGGGAAUUGGCAUGACAGCCCCUUCAGGCCUCGAGACAUCAGCUCCAGCCCCAAGCGGCCAUUGCCAAGGUUGUGGGUGCACAGUCCCGCUCCCUUUCUGUCCUUCCUUCCUUCAUGGGCUCUAAUUUCUGUUUCUGCCCCCAAAGGAUGAUGGGACAGAAACGCAGUAUAAAGUUGUCGCCGAGCGCUCCAUCCUUGAAGAUGCGAGGAAGAUUUAAUUUGCUGUUACAUUAGGUGGCAAGAUCUCGAGGAAUUUGUUCAUUAUCUCUUAGGCUCAGUUUCUUCAUCUGAGAAACGAGGUUGAUACUUGCCUUGCAAGACUGUCAUGAAAAUGAAAAGAGAGAAUAGUCAUAAAGCUCUUAGCCCAGCGACUGACAUGUAGGAAGUGUUCGUUAAAUAUAUUUAUUUAUUCAGCAAAUAUUUAUUAAGCAUCUCUUAAGAGCCUGGCAUUGUUCUAGGCACCUG